rnacentral:lncRNA from 1 species
CCAUGGACAAAAAACAAAAUCGGGGUAACAAACUAAAACUGAGGAAAACGUAUUAAAUAUAAGAGGAGAACAACGACACAACACUACAAUGUAACACACACAGAAACGGACCAAGCAUCAGAAAAAAUCCCCCGAGAAUAACAAAUAUAACAUCAAAACCAAAUACGUGAAUUUGGGAUAGACAAGUACCGUGACACGUCUUAUCGCAAUGUGAAUUUACACUCAAAAAUAAGAGAAAACCAACAAAAAAACACUAA